rnacentral:misc_RNA from 1 species
UACGGAGGGUGCAAGCGUUAUCCGGAAUUAUUGGGUUUAAAGGGUCCGCAGGCGGGGUACUAAGUCAGUGGUGAAAGGCUGUCGCUUAACGAUAGCAUUGCCAUUGAUACUGGUACUCUUGAGUGUAGUUGAGGUGGGCGGAAUAAGUCAUGUAGCGGUGAAAUGCAUAGAUAUGACUUAGAACACCGAUUGUGAAGGCAGCUCACUAAGCUACUAAUGACGCUGAGGGACGAAAGCGUGGGGAGCAAACAGG